rnacentral:rRNA from 1 species
AUUGAACGCUGGCGGCAUGCUUUACACAUGCAAGUCGAACGGUAACAGGCCUUCGGGUGCUGACGAGUGGCGAACGGGUGAGUAAUGCAUCGGAACGUACCCAGAGGUGGGGGAUAACGCAGCGAAAGCUGUGCUAAUACUGCAUGUGAUCUGAGGAUGAAAGCGGGGGACCGAGCAGCAAUGUUUGGCCUCGCGCCUUUGGAGCGGCCGAUGUCGGAUUAGCUAGUUGGUGGGGUAAAGGCCUACCAAGGCGACGAUCCGUAGCUGGUCUGAGAGGACGACCAGCCACACUGGGACUGAGACACGGCCCAGACUCCUACGGGAGGCAGCAGUGGGGAAUUUUGGACAAUGGGCGCAAGCCUGAUCCAGCAAUGCCGCGUGCGGGAAGAAGGCCUUCGGGUUGUGAACCGCUUUUGGCAGGAACGAAACGGUGUCCGCUAAUACCGGGCGCUAAUGACGGUACCUGCAGAAUAAGCACCGGCUAACUACGUG